AACCCUUGUUAUCAGUUGCCAGCAUUAAGUUGGGCACUCUAAUGAGACUGCCGGUGACAAACCGGAGGAAGGUGGGGAUGACGUCAAGUCAUCAUGCCCCUUAUGACCUGGGCUACACACGUGCUACAAUGGGCAGUACAACGAGAAGCAAGCCUGCGAAGGCAAGCGAAUCUCUGAAAGCUGUUCUCAGUUCGGACUGCAGUCUGCAACUCGACUGCACGAAGCUGGAAUCGCUAGUAAUCGCGGAUCAGCACGCCGCGGUGAAUACGUUCCCGGGCCUUGUACACACCGCCCGUCACACCAUGGGAGUCUGCAAUGCCCAAAGCCGGUGGCCUAACCUUCGGGAAGGAGCCGUCUAAGGCAGGGCAGAUGACUGGGGUGAAGUCGUAACAAGGUA
rnacentral:rRNA from 1 species